GGAUUGUGGCUCAGCGGUAGAGUGCUCGCCUAGCACGUGCAAGGCGCUGGGUUUGAUCCUCAGCACCA
rnacentral:tRNA from 1 species